rnacentral:lncRNA from 1 species
ACGUCUGACCAAUAGUGAACUAUUGUUUAUGAUGCGUUUGAUUGUCCCAUGAUGACAGAUUCUAACACACAUAUUUAAUGAGCUGAUUGUCUUCAUUCCCACAGUUUCCAGCUGAUCCUGGUGAGAUGAAGGAACUGAGGUCAACCAGAGAAGGAAGUGACGACGACUACAAACACACACUCACCUCUCACUUCCUCCCACCUCUGAGCGAUGCUCACACACACAUGGAUCAUGUCCGAUUGUUCCGCUGUGAUUCCAUUGAGUCCAUCUCUGCUGAGGAAAGCUCCAGGAAUCCUCCGUCUGUUUUUCACCCGCCCACAAACGCCAGCACGGCUCAGCAGGAGAAAAGUGGGAGGAGCCGCAGCCUCUACUGCUCGUCACCGCAGCGUGUCACAUGCAGCAGCAUCAGCAGCAGGAUGAGAUCCAAUGUUCAGCCUCCUGCUCUGAUGUCCAGAUCCACUCAGACCUCAGCAGCAGUGGAGAGGAGCAGCCGGACGCCACAGCACCGUGAGAACCUUCUUUAUUCAACCAGUUCAGAGUUCUCAGUGAGAGAAACGUCUCUGAUUUAUAUCAACUAAACAGCUUCCUCACAUUCACAUCAGGGAAAGGAAACCAGGAGAGACACUGGUUAUGAUGAACAUGGCAAAAAUCAUCAUGAAAUCUGGUGAAAAGAGGUUAAAAGUGACAAUAAUGGGUCAACAUAUAAACAUUA